UGCAUAAAAAACUAAGAAAAUGUAAGCAUUCUCAAGAAUGGCAAAAGCCUUUCAAACGCUGCAAAUAAGUACUUCUGAGAACUGUAAGGAAAUAUUAAGAAUAACUUAGUGGUGGCUCUAACUGGACUCGAACCAGUGACCCCCACCA
rnacentral:antisense_RNA from 1 species